ACGAAGUUGCUCUUUGGGAAGCCCUCGGGUGGAACUGUGAGUAUACUUAGUGGCGGACGGGUGAGUAACGCGUGAGCAAUCUGCCCUGCAAUGGGGGACAACAGUUGGAAACGACUGCUAAUACCGCAUAAGACCACGAAACCGCAUGGUUUAGAGGUAAAAGGAUUCAUUCGAUGCAGGAUGAGCUCGCGUCCCAUUAGAUAGUUGGUGAGGUAACGGCCCACCAAGUCAACGAUGGGUAGCCGACCUGAGAGGGUGAUCGGCCACAUUGGAACUGAGAAACGGUCCAAAUUCCUACGGGAGGCAGCAGUGGGGAAUAUUGGGCAAUGGGGGAAACCCUGACCCAGCAACGCCGCGUGAAGGAAGAAGGCCUUCGGGUUGUAAACUUUUGUCCUAUGGGACGAAAAAAAUGACGGUACCAUAGGAGGAAGCUCCGGCUAACUACGUGCCAGCAGCCGCGGUAAUACGUAGGGAGCAAGCGUUGUCCGGAAUUACUGGGCGUAAAGGGUGCGUAGGUGGCCAUGUAAGUCAGGUGUGAAAGACCGGGGCUCAACCCCGGGGUUGCACUUGAAACUGUGUGGCUUGAGUACAGGAGAGGGAAGUGGAAUUCCUAGUGUAGCGGUGAAAUGCGU
rnacentral:rRNA from 1 species